rnacentral:rRNA from 1 species
CCAGACUCCUACGGGAGGCAGCAGUGAGGAAUAUUGGUCAAUGGUCGGGAGACUGAACCAGCCAAGCCGCGUGAGGGAUGAAGGUACAGAGUAUCGUAAACCUCUUUUGUCAGGGAACAAAGGCGGGGACGUGUCCCCGGAUGAGUGUACCUGAAGAAAAAGCAUCGGCUAACUCCGUGCCAGCAGCCGCGGUAAUACGGAGGAUGCGAGCGUUAUCCGGAUUUAUUGGGUUUAAAGGGUGCGUAGGCGGAAUGCCAAGUCAGCGGUAAAAUCGCGGGGCUCAACCCCGUACUGCCGUUGAAACUGCAUCCCUUGAGUGCGCGAGAAGUAUGCGGAAUGCGUGGUGUAGCGGUGAAAUGCAUAGAUAUCACGCAGAACUCCGAUUGCGAAGGCAGCAUACCGGUGCACAACUGACGCUCAGGCACGAAAGCGUGGGUAUCGAACAGGAUUAGAUACCCGAGUAC